UACGAAGGGGGCUAGCGUUGCUCGGAAUCACUGGGCGUAAAGCGCACGUAGGCGGGCUCUUAAGUCAGGGGUGAAAUCCUGGAGCUCAACUCCAGAACUGCCUUUGAUACUGAGGAUCUUGAGUUCGGGAGAGGUGAGUGGAACUGCGAGUGUAGAGGUGAAAUUCGUAGAUAUUCGCAAGAACACCAGUGGCGAAGGCGGCUCACUGGCCCGAUACUGACGCUGAGGCACGAAAGCGUGGGGAGCAAACAGG
rnacentral:rRNA from 1 species